rnacentral:tRNA from 1 species
GACAAGCGCAUAGAGUGGUUAACGCGAUGCCCUGCUAUCCAUAGUCAGGCAUUUCCUUCGGGAGCGUGUGUUCGAAUCACACAGGUGUCG